GUGAGUCCAAUUAGCAUGGCCACUCAACAUUUAAAGGAGCGAGUAGUGGUAGUGGUUGGUCACAAAAGGAGCAAACUCAGAAAUCAAGCUAGUUAGUGGAAUCAAUUGCUAGAGAAAAAGGAUGAUGAAAUUGAAAAGAAGGGUACAAGUUAAGAGAAUUGGGUCAUCAGACUCUUGCAUUCGGUGAUGAGAGGUUCCACGUCCCAUGCUAGCAGAUCGCAAUCAGUAAGUGCACUUCUCAAAGCCCAAUUAUUGAAUUCCAUAACUAGUUUCAGUUCGUGUACUGAAGAGUUUCAUGGCUUCCGCAUAUGCUAAGAUGUCUCGCUGUGCAGCCAAAGACACUCAUAAUUUUUGCAAAUCUUUUGGUAGUUUAAGAACCACCCUUCCAUUCCUUUGAGACCCCUGAACGAGAUCUGCAGCUUUAUUGCAGGAUUCAACCAGACUUCUUUCAUCCGUCCGCAGUGAAGGAAGAGGUUUUCAACUAUUUCUAGGCUUUGUUGGCACAGAAGGUAAGAUGGCAGGUAAAAUUUUCUUUUAGUGAACAAAAUUCUUUUUUUAUGUGGGAAGUGCCUUUUGGCACAAACUCUAAAUGAAAAACCUGAUUUUUGGAGUGGUAAUCAACUUCCGUAUCAAAUGCCAUAGAGAUUUAGGGGUCUGGUAUGAUGAUGAUGAUGCUUGAUCUGUUUGCUGCUGAAUGUUUUUGUGUCUGAGAUGGUUGGAAGUGCUUCCCAGAAUAGGUCCCCGACUUAUAAGUUUCUCUUUCUCAUCUUCAUCUGCAAGGGAAUUGCUAAAACUUUCAUUAAUAAUCAGCUCAUCAAACAAAUUCUGUACGACGGUUUCCUUCCAUCUGGAUUCUUCCUUGUUGAUUAAUUCAGCUACUUUCUCUGGCCAGAUUCGCGGACCACCUUAAUUACUCUGAUCUUGAGUCAUCAAUCUUCUCUAAUGUUGAUAUCUUCACCAUUACUCAAAGAGUCAAAGGUCACCUCACAUCCAACCUUAGUGGACACUUUUUACCCUUUCUCUGUGGACACUCCUAUUGAAGUGCCAUUCCUUUUUUAAGUCCAAAUGCAUAAAUCCUUUUGGACAACAUAAUCUGAAUGCAAUAUCUUAGUUCACACUCAGAUGAAGUCUUCCUUACGAAUUUUCGUUAGAAAUAUCUAAUUAUUUAGAUAAUCACUUACGCUUUGAUUUGAUAGAGAAUCAAAUUAUUAAGCAAAUGUAGUGCUUAUAGGAGUUACUCGUUUUUUACUAGACUUUAUGAAGAAAUUUAAAUAUACUUUGUAAGAUAAUUUAACUAGGAAAACUCAAAACUCAUUAAUUCAUCAAAUUUCUCCAAAUGCACUCUUUUUUUAAUCAAUCUUCAAUCCUAUCAAGCAGGCUAAAAAACUAAGAAAUUCUUUAGAUAUAUGAAGUCGUCAAUACAUGGCCGAGCAAGGCUUGGUAAGAUUGAUUUAAAUUCAAUUACUUACUGGUUUUCCUAUCAAUAAGACUUAUGAUGAAGUCACAUGGAAUUCAUAAUAAUCGAAGUAAUUAGUAGGCUCGAUUAACAUUAGUGAUAUUCUUAACCUCAUUUGUGAUGUCAUUGGAGACAGAAGUAAAAUAAGCCUUAGUGGACACUCCCUCUCCCCUUCCCUCCACCCCCCCCCCCCUCUUUUCUUUUGGUUUCUGGACGCUUUACCAAUUUGAAGUGUCAUUCUUUAUCAAAGCCAAAAUGCGUAAAUCCUUUUCGACAACAUAAUCUGAAUGCAAUAUCUCAGUUCACACUUAAACGAAGUCUUCCUUGCCAAAUUUCGUUAGAAGUAUCCGAUUAUUUUGAUAAUGACUUACACUUUGAUUUGACAGGGAAUGAAAUUACUAAGCAAAUGUAGUGUGUACUGGAGUUUCUCGUUUUUGGCUACACUUUACAAGGAAAGUUAAAUAUACUUUCUAAUAUAGUUCAACUAGAAAAACUUGAAACUCAUUAAUUCAUCAACUUUCUCCAAAUGCACUUUCUUUUUUUUUCUUUUCUCUUUUUUUUAAUGAAUCUUCAAUCCUACCAGGCAGGCUAAAAAACUAAGAAAUUCUUUAGAUAUAUGAAGUCAUCAAUACGUGGCCGAGCAAGGCUUGGUAAGAUUGAUUUAAAUUCAAUUACUUACCGGUUUUCCUUAUCAAUGAGACUUAUGAUCAAAUCACGUGGAAUUCAUAAUGAUUGGAGUAAUUAGUAGGUUUGAUUACCAUUAGUGAUAUUUUUAACACCAUCUAUGACAUCAAUGGAGACCGUAGUAGAAUAAGCUAAAUUCUCGACACAAUGCCUGUCACAUCCAACCUUAGUGGACAUUUUUACCUCCUUUCUUUUUGGUCUAUUGACACUUUACCCUAUUGAAGUGCCAUUCUUUUUUGAAGUCCAAACGCGUAAAUCUUUUUGGACAACAUAAUCUGAAUACAAUGUCUCGGUUCACACCUAGACGAAGUCUUCCUUAUGAAUUUUUGUUAGAAAUAUCUUAUUAUUUUGAUAAUGACUUAUACUUUGAUUUGACAGGAAGCGAAAUUACUAAGCAAAUGAAUUCCACAAAAAAGCAUCCAAUGGGAAAGGCCUUGUAGUGAGGGCCAAAUGCCCUAUUUGAGUGAGAAAUCCUUCUCUUCAAAGUGAUGGGAAGCAAGCCAUUGGCGUACGGAGUAAUCAACUCAGAAAAAGAAGCUUGAUCUAAUUUUUCGUGGCCAAGCUACAAAUGAAAAUAUACCAAUUGUUGGUGAAGAUCUGCUCAAAUCAAAACGCUUUCACUAGAUCAGCACAAGUAUCUACAUACUCGCAUGACUACAUCUUGUGUAGGACAUUAGAAUUGUUUUACAUGUCAAAGCUAUCCUCUCAAAUUAUCCAAUAGGCCUUCUGUUUUAUUUUAGAUUUCUUCGCUCCUAUUAUAUAUUGAUUUGUCUAUGGUAUAUGGGGAAAAUUGUCAAAAAAAAAUCCUAAACCUAUUAUACUUUUAUCAAUUUAGUCAUAAAUUUUUCAAUGUUACCUAUUGAGUUAUAAACAUUUUCACAUUUUGCCAAUUGAGUCUGCCCGACUAAUUUUGGCUGGAAAUUAC
rnacentral:lncRNA from 1 species